GUAGUCCUGGCUGUAAACGAUGUCGACUUGGAGGUUGUGCCCUUGAGGCGUGGCUUCCGGAGCUAACGCGUUAAGUCGACCGCCUGGGGAGUACGGCCGCAAGGUUAAAACUCAAAUGAAUUGACGGGGGCCCGCACAAGCGGUGGAGCAUGUGGUUUAAUUCGAUGCAACGCGAAGAACCUUACCUGGUCUUGACAUCCACGGAAGUUUUCAGAGAUGAGAAUGUGCCUUCGGGAACCGUGAGACAGGUGCUGCAUGGCUGUCGUCAGCUCGUGUUGUGAAAUGUUGGGUUAAGUCCCGCAACGAGCGCAACCCUUGUCCUUUGUUGCCAGCGGUCCGGCCGGGAACUCAAAGGAGACUGCCAGUGAUAAACUGGAGGAAGGUGGGGAUGACGUCAAGUCAUCAUGGCCCUUACGACCAGGGCUACACACGUGCUACAAUGGCGCAUACAAAGAGAAGCGACCUCGCGAGAGCAAGCGGACCUCAUAAAGUGCGUCGUAGUCCGGAUUGGAGUCUGCAACUCGACUCCAUGAAGUCGGAAUCGCUAGUAAUCGUGGAUCAGAAUGCCACGGUGAAUACGUUCCCGGGCCUUGUACACACCGCCCGUCACACCAUGGGAGUGGGUUGCAAAAGAAGUAGGUAGCUUAACCUUCGGGAGGGCGCUUACCACUUUGUGAUUCAUGACUGGGGUGAAGUCGUAACAAGGUAACCGUAGGGGAACCUGCGGCUGGAUCACCUCC
rnacentral:rRNA from 1 species